rnacentral:rRNA from 1 species
GACGAACGCUGGCGGCGUGCCUAAUACAUGCAAGUAGAACGCUGAAGGAGGAGCUUGCUUCUCUGGAUGAGUUGCGAACGGGUGAGUAACGCGUAGGUAACCUGCCUGGUAGCGGGGGAUAACUAUUGGAAACGAUAGCUAAUACCGCAUAAGAGUAGAUGUCGCAUGACAUUUGCUUAAAAGUGCAAUUGCAUCCCUACCAGAUGGACCUGCGUUGUAUUAGCUAGUUGGUGAGGUAACGGCUCACCAAGGCAACGAUACAUAGCCGACCUGAGAGGGUGAUCGGCCACACUGGGACUGAGACACGGCCCAGACUCCUACGGGAGGCAGCAGUAGGGAAUCUUCGGCAAUGGACGGAAGUCUGACCGAGCAACGCCGCGUGAGUGAAGAAGGGUUUCGGAUCGUAAAGCUCUGUUGUAAGAGAAGAACGAGUGUGAGAGUGGAAAGUUCACACUGUGACGGUAUCUUACCAGAAAGGGACGGCUAACUACGUG